UCUGGUUGAUCCUGGCGGAGGUUACUGCUAUCGAGGUUCGACUAAGCCAUGCGAGUCGAAUGUAGCAAUACAUGGCGUACUGCUCAGUAACACGUGAACAACCUACCCUUAGGUCGGGGAUAAACCCGGGAAACUGGGUAUAAUACCCGAUAGUCCUCGAAUGCUGGAAUGCAUCGAGGUCUAAAGCUCCGGCGCCUAAGGAUGGGUCUGCGGCCUAUCAGGUAGUAGUGGGUGUAGCGUACCUACUAGCCUACGACGGGUACGGGUUGUGAGAGCAAGAGCCCGGAGAUGGAUUCUGAGACACGAAUCCAGGCCCUACGGGGUGCAGCAGGCGCGAAAACUUUACAAUGCUGGCAACAGCGAUAAGGGGACCUCGAGUGCCUGGUUACAAAUCUGGCUGUCGUGAUGCCUAAAAAGCAUUGCAUAGCAAGGGCCGGGCAAGACCGGUGCCAGCCGCCGCGGUAACACCGGCGGCUCGAGUGGUAACCGUUAUUAUUGGGUCUAAAGGGUCUGUAGCCGGCCGGAUAAGUCUCUUGGGAAAUCUGGCAGCUUAACUGUCAGGCUUUCAGGAGAUACUGUCUGGCUCGAGGCCGGGAGAGGUGAGAGGUACUUCAGGGGUAGGGGUGAAAUCUUGUAAUCCUUGAAGGACCACCAGUGGCGAAGGCGUCUCACCAGAACGGACCUGACGGCAAGGGAC
rnacentral:rRNA from 1 species